GGAUGAGGUAGGGAAGAAAUGGGCAAUAAAUACACUUUUUAGCAAAGGAAUCAGCAGCUGGAGAUGACACAGUAGAGAACUAAACACAGAAAAUGGGAACAGUUGCAGUCCUGCAGGGAAGUUGGCUUGGAUUCUGUGGUGGAAAGUGCUAGCACAAUGCCAACACUGCUGUGGGAUUUGUAGAAUCUUCUCUAGAUAAUUGUAGCAGAUUCAGACCAACCUAUUUGCAGCCCAUAUAAUUGAGAGUGAGCAGCAGAGAACCUUCUUGGUUUUCAGGCACUGAUCCCUUAACCAAGCUACCCGCCACCACCGACGUGGUACAUCUGUUGGUCUGUUUGGGGAGAAAAUAUGGUCUCAAAUGCAUCUCCAGUCUGGGGUGCUGGACCCAAAGGCUCAAUCCUCCAGCCAAAGCAUUGUUGAGGGGGCAGGAAGAAGCUCUUUGGAUUUGGCCAAAUCAGUAAAGAAAGCAAUGAAAGAAACACUAAUGCUUCACCUGCCAGGAGAAGGUUUACUACAGCUGCUCAAAGAAAAUAGACCCAGAAUAAGAAAAUGUCCACUUGGAUUUAGGAAACUAGCAAAUUCAUUCAGAUGUAGAAUCGAGACAGAAGAAGGAACAAACACUACUUCAAACAUCUGGUAUCUGGAUCAUAAUCACAGAGUGUUGCCCAGGAAGGAAAGUUCGAAAACACAGAGAAGAAAAUAACUAUUGAGCGACUUUCCUGAGUCCGAGGAUAAUGACAUAUAGCACGUGGGACCAGUUACUUUGUUCCUGUUUUCAGACGACCCACGAUUGAUUGACCAAGGAAGAUCCACCGAUUAUUUUUAAAUCGUGCCUUCAACUUUCUGUGUUCUUCUCGGGUUCACAGGAUAGUAGUGAUAACACGGGCUAGAGGACAAAGUCAUAACAUCCAUGUACAUUUGAAUUAAGUGGAUUUAGAGACCAUCCCCCCUGUGCAUGAUUUUCUCUCUGCAAAUUCCAGAUGUAAUGGCCAUCUGUGUUUGCACUUGUCCUCCUCUGGUGAUGUGAGAUUUACCUUGCGUGAGACUGCCCUCCCAAAGGAAUAUAAAAAGUUGAAAAAUAAUAGUCCUUUUAUUUAACAUUUACUAUAUACCAGAUGUUGGGAUAAGACCUCUACAUACACAUCCUCAUCUAAAUCCAUUUGGAGUGUUAUAAACCAUCUUAAGGAUGAAGUAAUGAACAUAGAGUUUAGCAAAACUCCAGAGGGACCCAGCACUUCUUAGUUACCUCUCAUUCUAAAUACACUUCCUAUGAUGAGCACUUUUUAAUGCAUACAAUUGUUGAAUACUAUGUUGUACACCUGCAACUAAUCUAGUCUUUUAAAAU
rnacentral:lncRNA from 1 species